rnacentral:rRNA from 1 species
GUGAGGAAUAUUGGUCAAUGGAGGCAACUCUGAACCAGCCAUGCCGCGUGCAGGAAGACGGUCCUAUGGAUUGUAAACUGCUUUUAUUUAGGAAUAAACCCCCGGUCGUGCACCGGGGCUGAAUGUACUAAAAGAAUAAGCACCGGCUAACUCCGUGCCAGCAGCCGCGGUAAUACGGAGGGUGCAAGCGUUAUCCGGAAUCAUUGGGUUUAAAGGGUCCGCAGGCGGGUAAAUAAGUCAGAGGUGAAAUCCGGCAGCUCAACUGUCGCACUGCCUUUGAUACUGUUUAUCUUGAAUUUUAGUGGAGUGGGCGGAAUAUGUCAUGUAGCGGUGAAAUGCUUAGAUAUGACGUGGAACACCGAUAGCGAAGGCAGCUCACUAACUAUGAAUUGACGCUCAUGGACGAAAGCGUGGGUAGCAAACAGGAUUAGAUACCCCUGUAGUCC